CUACAGCAAGGAUUGGAUGCCCUGAUCCACCAUGCCAAUAUGGUGUCACGGCUAAUAUACCAGAAAACGCUGAUGUCUGCUCCCCAACAGUUCGUUUAGAUACGAAUUGUGGGGUGAACAUUGAUCCUAACAUAUGGACACAGGUUUACAAGAUCAACGUUACUGGUACACUCACUGAAGAUGAAUAUGGGCAACAGACCAAUGUUAUGAAAAUCACACUUCGUUCUCCAGAUAGUUACCCUGGACACCCUAUAUGGGAAAAUUAUACUUUAGCUCCCGUUAAGGUGUAUGUAGUAAAAGAUACUGGAGCUAUAGAAUCACGAAGUUGUAAAGUACAUUCCGAUCCAUAUGUUAAAACUUUUGCGGAAAGACAGAUGAGUCUCCAGAUUCUUGGAACAUUUACCAUGUAUCAGAAUAAUGACUAUAAUAUAGAGGUA